GGGGCUGAUUCUGGAUUCGACGGGAUUUGCGAAACCCAUGGUGCAUGCCGAGGGGCGGUUGGCCUCGUAAAAAGCCGCAAAAAAUAGUCGCAAACGACGAAAACUACGCUUUAGCAGCUUAAUAACCUGCUUAGAGCCCUCUCUCCCUAGCCUCCGCUCUUAGGACGGGGAUCAAGAGAGGUCAAACCCAAAAGAGAUCGCGUGGAAGCCCUGCCUGGGGUUGAAGCGUUAAAACUUAAUCAGGCUAGUUUGUUAGUGGCGUGUCCGUCCGCAGCUGGCAAGCGAAUGUAAAGACUGACUAAGCAUGUAGUACCGAGGAUGUAGGAAUUUCGGACGCGGGUUCAACUCCCGCCAGCUCCACCA
rnacentral:tmRNA from 1 species